AUAUAUCUGUCGAUAUUGCUAAAAGCUUGCCAAUUGGAUAGCUACCAGUCACUGAGUAACUUUCAUUUCAAAUAUAUCUGCAGUUUGUCCUUCCCAAGCUUAGAAGUAUUUCAGUGUUAAAAGUACGGAAAAUUAUUUGAAAGAAUAAGAAAUGGAGCUAGAGUCGAUAGAUUUAGAAUUUUACCGUGUGCCAAAGUUUGCGUUACUCGUUCUCGGAUUUUGGCCCGAAACAAAACUAACUCCUAUUCGAAUUAUCCACGGAGUCAUCAAUCUAAUCAUUCUAUCAUGGGCAGUAAUAUCUGAAAUGUGUUCAGGAUUUAUGCUAAUUCAACAACCAAUUGUGGCGUUGGAUGCAAUUGCACCAUCACUUUCAAAAUUGGUAACAAUAUUAAAAUUGACUGUGAUGUGGACAUCGCGUAUUCGAUUUCGAAUUUUAGUUAACGAUGCUUAUGAUUUGUUACAAGUAGAUAACAGCGAAAAGAAACUCAAAAUACUUAAAAAGAUGAAGAAAUUUACAGCUGCCCUCGGCUUUAUUGUAUUCCUCUUAGGAAAUGCUACCAACGCGGCGUAUUUUUUUCGUCCUAUUGUGAAUAAUGCUUUGGAUUACUACAAUGGAAGAAAUGUUACAAGAGAAAUGCCGUUUAUUGCAUGGGUUCCUUUUCCGACAACCAAUAUUGUAGCUUACUGCCUUGGAUACAUGGUUAAUUCUUAUUUUGGAUUUAUAGCAGCAUUUGGAUUUGGUGGGGUUGAUGGUUUUUUUGUCCAGUCUUGUAUGUACUUGUCGACUUUAUUUCAAAUAUGUCGAGAAGAUGCAAAGUUGGCUUUUUUCGCUGGAACGUUCAAUGUAGCUUCUGUAGAGCAAAAUAUAAUUACUCGGAAGAAGCUAUCGGCAGCUAUUGAAAAACAUAACAAGAUUAUGGAUAUGUGCGAGGAAUUAGUGGAUUUAUUCACGCUCAUUAUAUUAGCACACUUUCUAUCUGCGGCCCUUGUUAUAUGCGUCACUGCUAUCGACUUUUUGAUGGCUUCAGGAUUUAAUAUUGUUGUCUACGUUGUGCAUAGCCUAAUGGUGAUUUUUGAAUUAUUCGUCUAUUGCAUUGGUGGAACUGGCGUUUUUGAAUCUACGUUGCUAGAGCUGUUUACUUCCGUGAGUGGUAUAAGUAUGAUAUCAGCACUCAAAAAAUGAUCGGGCUGAUAAUGGUAAGAUCACAGAAAGGUACUAAUGUGCAAGUACCAUUCUUUGCACCGUCAAUACCGGUCUUCGGUACGAUGUUGGGAACAGCUAUGUCAUAUAUUACUCUUUUAAGAACUUUCUUGCAGAGGUAAAUCCUGAAAAAAUUGAUUGUAAACAUUUUACUUGAAUAAAACUAGAAUUGAAAAUAACUGGCUCAGAUCAGUUCAAAUUUGCACUAGAUAACAUUAUAUUAUUUGUGAGAUUUUCUGAAUUCUCUCGUCAUGCAAGUUAUGGAGUUUAAAUAAAACGACUUAAAAUUUAGAAUUCAA
rnacentral:misc_RNA from 1 species